rnacentral:rRNA from 1 species
AUUCCAGCUCCAAUAGCGUAUAUUAAAGUUGUUGCAGUUAAAAAGCUCGUAGUUGGAUUUCGGAAUGGGUCAAUUGGUCCGCCGCAAGGUGAGUUACUGGUUGGUCUGUUCUUCUUCGCAAAGACUGCGUAUGCACUUUAUUGGGUGUGCGUAGGAUUUACGACGUUUACUUUGAAAAAAUUAGAGUGUUCAAAGCAGGCUAUCGCUUGAAUACAUGAGCAUGGAAUAAUGGAAUAGGACUUUGGUCUUAUUUUAUUGGUUUCUGAGACCGAAAUAAUGAUUAAUAGGGACAAUCGGGGGCAUUCGUACUUAUACGUCAGAGGUGGAAUUCUUGGAUUGUAUAAUGACGAACUACUGCGAAAGCAUUUGCCAAGGAUGUUUUCAUCG